rnacentral:rRNA from 1 species
UACAGAGGUCCCGAGCGUUGUUCGGAUUUAUUGGGCGUAAAGGGUGCGUAGGCGGCGAAGUAAGUUGGGUGUGAAAUCCCGGGGCUUAACCUCGGAAUGGCAUUCAAUACUGCUUCGCUAGAGUACUGGAGAGGAGGCUGGAAUUUACGGUGUAGCAGUGAAAUGCGUAGAUAUCGUAAGGAAGGCCGGUGGCGAAAGCGAGCCUCUGGACAGUUACUGACGCUGAUGCACGAAGGCCAGGGGAGCAAACGGG